AAUCAACGCUGGCGGCGUGCCUCAGACAUGCAAGUCGAACAAUUAAGACUUCCUUCGGGAAGUGUAUAAAGUGGCGCACGGGUGAGUAACACGUAAGUAAUCUACCUUCGAGUGGGGGAUAACAUCGGGAAACCGAUGCUAAUACCGCAUAAUGCAGCGGCAUCGCAAGAUGACAGUUGUUAAAGGAGCAAUUCGCUUGAAGAGGAGCUUGCGGCAGAUUAGCUAGUUGGUAAGGAAAUGGCUUACCAAGGCUACGAUCUGUAUCCGGUCUAAGAGGACGGUCGGACACACUGACACUGAAUAACGGGUCAGACUCCUACGGGAGGCAGCAGUCGGGAAUUUUGGGCAAUGGGCGAAAGCCUGACCCAGCAACGCCGCGUGAGGGAUGAAGUAUUUCGGUAUGUAAACCUCGAAAGAAUGGGAAGAAUAAAUGACGGUACCAUUUAUAAGCUCCGGCUAACUACGUGCCAGCCGCCGCCGUAAGAC
rnacentral:rRNA from 1 species